UUUCAACCAUGAGUUUACGUACCUAACUUUAAUCGUCUGUCUUAUUUAAAUUUUUUUUAUAAUUAGUAUUUUUAUUGUUAUAAGAUGAUAAAACAUGAAUAGUAUUUUAUGCGUGACUUAUGUUUUUAAAUUUUUUCAAAAAAAAUUUAAAUAAGACGGACGAUCAAAAUUGGACAAAAAAGUCAUGGCUGCACUUAAA
rfam:Oryza glumipatula chromosome 1, whole genome shotgun sequence.